AGCGAACGCUGGCGGCAGGCUUAACACAUGCAAGUCGAGCGGGCAUCUUCGGAUGUCAGCGGCAGACGGGUGAGUAACACGUGGGAACGUACCCUUCGGUUCGGAACAACUCUGGGAAACUGGAGCUAAUACCGGAUACGCCCUUAUGGGGAAAGGUUUACUGCCGAAGGAUCGGCCCGCGCCUGAUUAGCUAGUUGGUGGGGUAACGGCCUACCAAGGCGACGAUCAGUAGCUGGUCUGAGAGGAUGAUCAGCCACACUGGGACUGAGACACGGCCCAGACUCCUACGGGAGGCAGCAGUGGGGAAUAUUGGACAAUGGGCGCAAGCCUGAUCCAGCCAUGCCGCGUGAGUGAUGAAGGCCUUAGGGUUGUAAAGCUCUUUUGUCCGGGACGAUAAUGACGGUACCGGAAGAAUAAGCCCCGGCUAACUUCGUG
rnacentral:rRNA from 1 species